GCCGGGCGCAGUGGCGCAUGCCUGUAGUCCCAGCUACUCGGGAGGCUGAGGUGGGAGGAUCGCUUGAGCCCAGGAGUUCUGGGCUGCAGUGCGCUAUGCCAUGUGCUAUGCAGCACUAAGUUCGGCAUCAAUGUGGUGACCUCCCAGAAGUGGGGGACCACCAGGUUGCCUGAGGAGGGGUGAGCUGGCCCAGGACAGAAACAGAGCAGGUCAAAACUCCCGUGCUGAUCAGUAGUGGGAUGGCGCCUGUGAAUAGCUACUGCACUCCAGCCUGGGUAACACAGCAAGACCCCGGCUCU
rnacentral:SRP_RNA from 1 species